GAAACUUGUAAAUCUCGUGACCAAACUUAUAAAGCUGAUAACACGACUAAACGUUCAGAACCUUCCAGACCACGCCUGAGAAGUAACAGAAAUGAUGGCACAGGAUCCUGUAGCCUGCAUCGAACAUCAAAGAUAAAUGACGAAUUCAGACGGAUCUCUACAUUCAUUCAUUGCACAACUGGACCAGUUGCCAUUGCUUUAAAAAUAAACAAUGCUUUCAGAAAA